ACUCAGGCGGGACCGCCCGGUGACAAACCGGAGGAAGGUGGGGACGACGUCAAGUCAUCAUGGCCCUUAUGUCCUGGGCCACACACGUGCUACAAUGGCCGGUACAGAGCGCAGCGAGGCCGCGAGGCGGAGCGAAUCGCUUAAAGCCGGUCCCAGUACGGAUUGGAGUCUGCAACCCGACUCCAUGAAGUUGGAAUCGCUAGUAAUCGCGCAUCAGCAUGGCGCGGUGAAUACGUUCCCGGGCCUU
rnacentral:rRNA from 1 species